AUACAGAGGGUGCGAGCGUUAAUCGGAAUUACUGGGCGUAAAGCGCACGUAGGCGGUUCGGCAAGUCGGGUGUGAAAUCCCCGGGCUCGACCUGGGAAUUGCGUCCGAAACUGCCGGGCUAGAGUGUGGUAGAGGGAAGCGGAAUUCCGCAUGUAGCGGUGAAAUGCGUAGAUAUGCGGAGGAACACCAGUGGCGAAGGCGGCUUCCUGGACCAACACUGACGCUGAGGUGCGAAAGCGUGGGGAGCAAACAGGAUUAGAAACCCUAGUAGUCC
rnacentral:rRNA from 1 species